rnacentral:tRNA from 1 species
GACUUUGUAGUGAAAUUCAUGUUGAGUUGCAAGCUCAUCGAUGUACAUUGAGUGUACCUGAGUCU